UGUUUGGUGAAGGGAACUUGUCCAUAUCUGGUUUUGGGAUGAACAACAUCGACCCAAAUGUGCUCUUCACCAUCUGCAUUCUUAAGAGGUGUGGGUAAGGAUGAAGGUGGUCUUCAAAGGUGAGUAUAACGGGAUAUUCAGAGAAUAAGAAGGCAUCCUCCUUUAUGGCUUUCAGACAUUUGCCUAGUUUAACAGGUGUUGUCAAUGUCCUGCAAUUUAAAAUUCACGAAUUUUGUAUAUGUGUUGGUGGGAGAAAACAGUUUUUUCAUGAAAUUAUUUAAUUAUGGAGUAUGAAUAAGUUACCCUCCGUGACAAACAUCGAUAUCAUCUUUUGUGAUAUUAGGCCAAAGGUCCAAUUCAAUCACUCUAACUCCUUU